UCCGGUUGAUCCCGCCGGACCCGACUGCUAUCGGAUUGAGACCAAGCCAUGCGAGUCAACCCGCAAGGGUGGCGGACGGCUCAGUAACACGUAGUGAACCUGCCCUGGGGACGUGGACAACCAUGGGAAACUGUGGCUAAACCGCGAUAGGUCAUUGUUUCUGGAAUGGGCAAUGGCUCAAACCUACAUGGCCCCAGGAUGGCACUGCGGCCGAUCAGGUUGUUGGUGAGGUAAUGGCCCACCAAGCCUGUAACCGGUACGGGCUCUGAGAGGAGGAGCCUGGAGAUGGGCACUGAGACAAGGGCCCAGGUCCUAUGGGACGCAGCAGGCGCGAAACCUUCGCAAUAGGCGAAAGCCUGACGAGGUUAUUCCGAGUGUUCCCUGCUAAAGGGAUCUUUUGCCAGCUCUAAAAAUGCUGGUGAAUAAGGGGUGGGCAAGCCUGGUGUCAGCCGCCGCGGUAAUACCAGCACCCCGAGUGGUCGGGAUGAUUAUUUGGCCUAAAGCAUCCGUAGCCGGCGCAUCAAGUCUUCCGUUAAAUCCACCUGCUCAACAGAUGGGCUGCGGGAGAUACUGCUGCGCUAGGAGGCGGGAGAGGCGAGGGGUAUUCCAUGGGUAGGGGUAAAAUCCUCUGAUCCAUGGAGGACCACCAGUGGCGAAGGCGUCUCGCCAGAACGCGCUCGACGGUGAGGGAUGAAAGCUGGGGGAGCAAACCGGAUUAGAUACCCGGGUAGUCCCAGCUGUAAACGAUGUAGGCUCGGUGAUGGACUGGAUUCGAUCCAGCCCAGUGCCGCAGGGAAGCCGUUAAGCCUACCGCCUGGGGAGUACGGUCGCAAGACUGAAACUUAAAGGAAUUGGCGGGGGAGCACCACAAGGGGUGAAGCCUGCGGUUCAAUUGGAUUCAACGCCGGA
rnacentral:rRNA from 1 species